rnacentral:tRNA from 1 species
GGAAGAGUGGCCGAGUGGUUGAAGGCGCGGCUCUCGAAAAGCCGUAGGCCCGCAAGGGUCUCGUGGGUUCGAAUCCCACCUCUUCCG